rnacentral:rRNA from 1 species
UACGAAGGGGGCUAGCGUUGUUCGGAAUUACUGGGCGUAAAGCGCACGUAGGCGGAUAUUUAAGUCAGGGGUGAAAUCCCGGGGCUCAACCCCGGAACUGCCUUUGAUACUGGGUAUCUCGAGUCCGAGAGAGGUGAGUGGAAUUCCGAGUGUAGAGGUGAAAUUCGUAGAUAUUCGGAGGAACACCAGUGGCGAAGGCGGCUCACUGGCUCGGUACUGACGCUGAGGCGCGAAGGCUAGGGGAGCAAACAGGG